UUUCCAAAGGGGGAAAGGGGAAAGUAAUUGGAACGAUAUAGAAAAGAUUAGCAUGGCCCCUGCACAAGGAUGAUACGCAAAUUUGUGAAGCAUUCCAUAUUUAA